UCUUUUCGGGGACUGAAUUUGUUAGUAUCAACAGCACACGCACAUCUCAGCUACAACAGCUCUUAUUGAGAAAUUCCCGUGGUUACUUCCAUGCCAAAAGCACUGUUCGAAAACAAUUCACUUCUAUCUUUGACAAUUCUCUCGUCCCAGGCUUAACUCCAGUGCCUGAAAAGUGAAAACUUCGGAAAACUCAGGGAUGUGAAGUCGUUAAGAAUUGGUUGGUGUUAGGAGCUGGGCACUUUGCCACGUGGAUUGACAAGGUUAACAUCUCUAGAGAUUUUGGAGAUUAUUGAGUGUCCUAGUUUAGCCUCCUUGCCACAGGAAAUCCUAGAAGGAAUGAGCUCGCUCCGACCACUCUCUAUUGAGAAUUGUCACAGCUUAACUUUGCUACAGCUCUUGAGCGCCUAUCUAUUAUUCUAUUAUGUAUUGUUCAUAUCUGGCUUCUCUGCGAAAUGACCUGCAACAUCUCUCUGCACUUAAAAGUUUGACCAUCAUAAGCUUAUGAACAAAACUAAUGGAAUUGCCAAACAAAACUAAUGGAAUUGCCAACAUGAGUGGAGAACCUGGAUUCACUUCGAUCUUUGACAAUCCCAGAUUGCUAUAAUAUCAAGUCUUUGAGGGAAGGUCUCCAACUUCUCUGUGCACUCCAACAGUGGUCCUGAACUCGAGAAACGGUGUGAGGCGAGCAAGGGAGCGGAUUGGCAAAGAAUAUACCACACCCACAUAGUUAUGUUGGAUCAUCAGCAUCGCAGCAGAGGCGUGAUACUGCAAGCAGCUCUUCUACUUCUUAGAUCUUAGACCAAGGAACUGAGAAUGGAUGUCUUUAUCCAAAGCAUCAGGAUAACUGUGGCCGAAGAGACUCCCCCUCAUUUAUGCCAGUGAUCCUUGCUUCAUGUAUAUUCUGUUUCCCGUAGUCUGCAUUGAAAUAAGGUGGGAGAUAUGCUCUGGGAAAGGAACUGGGAUUGUUGCAAUUUGCAAGUUAAAAGGGCUUGCAGUGCGCGCAUUGCUUCUUCU